rnacentral:misc_RNA from 1 species
GUGAAUCAUCAAAUUUUUGAACGCAAAUUGCACUCUCCGGGGAGCGGGUGAGUAUUCGUGUGUGAGGCUCAGUAUAAUUAAAAUCCUUUGUGUUUGCUGCCUCUCGUGGUGACGCACUGGAUUUUGUUAAUCUUGCUUGCGUUUAAGUGACCUAAAAUUUUGCAUGAUUUUUUUCGAACGUAUUUAAAUUAUUUUUCGUAAGUUUUCUAUAUCGAAUUCUUGGUGUGGUC